rnacentral:rRNA from 1 species
AAGCUCGUCGGAGCGAGGAAGACGAGGUGGUGCAGUGGUUGUCGUCAGCUCGUGUCGUGAGAUGUGGUUAAGUCCCGCAACGAGCGCAACCCUUAUCGUUAGUUGCUACCAUUAAGUUGAGCACUCUAGCGAGACUGCCCGGGUUAACCGGGAGGAAGGUGGGGAUGACGUCAAAUCAUCAUGCCCCUUAUGUCUAGGGCUACACACGUGCUACAAUGGUGAGGACAAAGAGACGCAAGACCGCGAGGUGGAGCAAAUCUCACAAACCUCAUCCCAGUUCGGAUUGCAGGCUGAAACUCGCCUGCAUGAAGCCGGAGUUGCUAGUAAUCGCGAAUCAGCAUGUCGCGGUGAAUACGUUCCCGGGCCUU